rnacentral:snRNA from 1 species
AGCUUUGUGCAGUGGGUAUAUCAUAGCCAAUGAAGUUUAUCCAAGGCACGAUUAUUGCUAAUUGAAAAUACAUACAAAAGAUAUAUUCCUUUUUUAAAUAUCUGAAUUAAUGUCAAUCAAAAUU